AUUGAACGCUGGCGGCAGGCUUAACACAUGCAAGUCGAACGAGUGGCGGACGGGUGAGUAAUGCUUGGGAAUCUAGCUUAUGGAGGGGGAUAACUACGGGAAACUGUAGCUAAUACCGCGUACCAUAGGAUGAGCCCCAGUGGGAUUAGGUAGUUGGUGAGGUAAAGGCUCACCAAGCCGACGAUCUCUAGCUGGUCUGAGAGGAUGACCAGCCACAUUGGGACGGAGACACGGCCCAGACGCCAACGGGGGGCAGCGGUGGGGAAUAUUGCGCAAUGGGGGGAACCUGACGCAGCCAUGCCGGGUGAGUGAAGAAGGCCUUCGGGUUGUAAACUCCUUUCGACAGGUACGCGUUACCUGUAUAAGAAGCACCGGCUAACUACGUGCCAGCAGCCGCGGUAAUUC
rnacentral:rRNA from 1 species